rnacentral:rRNA from 1 species
UACGUAGGGGGCAAGCGUUGUUCGGAAUUACUGGGCGUAAAGAGCUCGUAGGUGGUUUGUCGCGUUGUUCGUGAAAACUCACAACUCAAUUGUGGGCGUGCGGGCGAUACGGGCAGACUGGAGUACUGCAGGGGAGACUGGAAUUCCUGGUGUAGCGGUGGAAUGCGCAGAUAUCAGGAGGAACACCGGUGGCGAAGGCGGGUCUCUGGGCAGUAACUGACGCUGAGGAGCGAAAGCGUGGGGAGCGAACAGG